UCGGGAAUUUUGGGCAAUGGGCGAAAGCCUGACCCAGCAACGCCGCGUGAGGGAUGAGGUAUUUCGGUAUGUAAACCUCGAAAGAAUGGGAAGAAUAAAUGACGGUACCAUUUAUAAGCUCCGGCUAACUACGUGCCAGCAGCCGCGGUAAUACGUAGGGAGCAAGCGUUGUUCGGAUUUACUGGGCGUAAAGGGCGCGUAGGCGGCGCGGUAAGUCACUUGUGAAAUCUCUGAGCUUAACUCAGAACGGCCAAGUGAUACUGCUGGGCUAGAGUGCGGAAGAGGCAACCGGAAUUCUUGGUGUAGCGGUGAAAUGCGUAGAUAUCAAGAGGAACACCUGAGGCGAAGGCGGGUUGCUGGGCCGACACUGACGCUGAUGCGCGAAAGCCAGGGGAGCAAACG
rnacentral:rRNA from 1 species